CCUAAGUCGGAUUAGCUAGUUGGUGGGGUAAAGGCCUACCAAGGCGACGAUCUGUAGCGGGUCUGAGAGGAUGAUCCGCCACACUGGGACUGAGACACGGCCCAGACUCCUACGGGAGGCAGCAGUGGGGAAUAUUGGACAAUGGGGGGAACCCUGAUCCAGCCAUGCCGCGUGUGUGAAGAAGGCCUUAUGGUUGUAAAGCACUUUAAGCGAGGAGGAGGCUCUUUUGGUUAAUACCCAAGAUGAGUGGACGUUACUCGCAGAAUAAGCACCGGCUAACUCUGUGCCAGCAGCCGCGGUAAUACAGAGGGUGCAAGCGUUAAUCGGAUUUACUGGGCGUAAAGCGCGCGUAGGCGGCCAAUUAAGUCAAAUGUGAAAUCCCCGAGCUUAACUUGGGAAUUGCAUUCGAUACUGGUUGGCUAGAGUGUGGGAGAGGAUGGUAGAAUUCCAGGUGUAGCGGUGAAAUGCGUAGAGAUCUGGAGGAAUACCGAUGGCGAAGGCAGCCAUCUGGCCUAACACUGACGCUGAGGUGCGAAAGCAUGGGGAGCAAACAGGAUUAGAUACCCUGGUAGUCCAUGCCGUAAACGAUGUCUACUAGCCGUUGGGGCCUUUGAGGCUUUAGUGGCGCAGCUAACGCGAUAAGUAGACCGCCUGGGGAGUACGGUCGCAAGACUAAAACUCAAAUGAAUUGACGGGGGCCCGCACAAGCGGUGGAGCAUGUGGUUUAAUUCGAUGCAACGCGAAGAACCUUACCUGGCCUUGACAUAGUAGAAACUUUCCAGAGAUGGAUUGGUGCCUUCGGGAAUCUACAUACAGGUGCUGCAUGGCUGUCGUCAGCUCGUGUCGUGAGAUGUUGGGUUAAGUCCCGCAACGAGCGCAACCCUUUUCCUUACUUGCCAGCAUUUCGGAUGGGAACUUUAAGGAUACUGCCAGUGACAAACUGGAAGAAGGCGGGGACGACGUCAAGUCAUCAUGGCCCUUACGGCCAGGGCUACCCACGUGCUACAAUGGUCGGUACAAAGGGUUGCUACCUACCGAUAGGAGGCUAAUCUCAAAAAGCCGAUCGUAUUCCGGGAUUGGAGUCCGCCACCUCCGCCCCUGAAAUCGGAAUCCCUUUAAUACCGGAUCA
rnacentral:rRNA from 1 species